AGCAUCUAAGUCACUAAAUGCCACACUCGUGUGUCUAAAUGUGCAUUGAAAGCGUCCCUUCAGUCUCUCUUUCUGUGUAAAACAUUCAGACAGCUCAGGUGAAGAUUUGACGCUGGGAGUCACGUGUUUGGUCCGUCGCAGGUGUUGAGUACAGCUCAGGCAGGACCCUUUUCUGAGCGCUUCCCUGUCAGCACCAUGAUCAACCUACAGCCCAAGAGAAGGAGGAUGAAGAUGAAGCCAUUUUGCUGCAUCCUCAGAUGUCACAACCAGAGUCAGUGGAGCUGAAAUGAGCAACAGAAGAAGGAGACGACUGAGUUCCUGUCUGAUUUCCUGGACACAUCUGACUCACCUCAGUCGGCUCUUUCCUCC